UCUCUGGACCUUAUUACCCUUAAGGCAUCAGAUUCUCUCUGAUCUUGGAGGCCAAGCAGGAUUAACUCUGUUUAGUACUUGGAUGGGAGACCGCCAAUGAACACCAGGUCCUUCAGGC
rnacentral:rRNA from 1 species